GCUGGAGCUUGCUCCGGUGGAUUAGUGGCGAACGGGUGAGUAACACGUGAGCAAUCUGCCCUUGACUCUGGGAUAACUGCGGGAAACUGUAGCUAAUACCGGAUACUUUCCUUGGUGGGCAUCCACUGGGGAAGAAAGAAUUUCGGUCAAGGAUGAGCUCGCGGCCUAUCAGCUAGUUGGUGAGGUAAUGGCUCACCAAGGCGACGACGGGUAGCCGGCCUGAGAGGGUGACCGGCCACACUGGAACUGAGACACGGUUCAGACUCCUACGGGAGGCAGCAGUGGGGAAUAUUGCACAAUGGGCGAAAGCCUGAUGCAGCAACGCCGCGUGAGGGACGAAGGCCUUCGGGUUGUAAACCUCUUUUAGCAGGGAAGAAGCGAAAGUGACGGUACCUGCAGAAAAAGCACCGGCUAACUACGUGCCAGCAGCCGCGGUAAUACGUAGGGUGCAAGCGUUGUCCGGAAUUAUUGGGCGUAAAGAGCUCGUAGGCGGUUUGUCACGUCUGCUGU
rnacentral:rRNA from 1 species